rnacentral:rRNA from 1 species
UUCCGGUUGAUCCUGCCGGAGGCUACCGCUAUUGGAAUCCGAUUAAGCCAUGCGAGUCGAGAGAUUUCGGAUCUCGGCAGACGUCUCAGUAACACGUGGAUAAUCUACCCUUGAGUGGGGGAUAAGCUUGGAAACCUGAGUAUAAUACCCCAUAGGUCUAGGAUGCUGGAAUGCUUCUAGGCUGAAAGCUCCGGCGCUCAAGGAUGAAUCUGCGACCUAUCAGGCUGUAGUGGGUGUAACGGACCCACUAACCUUCGACGGGUACGGGCCUUGAGAGAGGUUGCCCGGAGUUGGACUCUGAGACACGAGUCCAGACCCUACGGGGUGCAGCAGGCGCGAAAACUUCACAAUGUGGGAAACCACGAUGAGGGGAUUCCAAGUGCCAGCACAAUGUGUUGGCUGUUCAUUUGCCUAAAAAGCUGAUGAAGUAAGAGCCGGGUAAGACGGGUGCCAGCCGCCGCGGUAAUACCCGCGGCUCGAGUGGUGGCCACUAUUGUUGAGCCUAAAGCGUCCGUAGCCUGCUCAGUAAAUUUCUGGGUAAAUCGGGCAGCUUAACUGUCCGAAUUCCAGAAAGACUGCUGGGCUUGGGACCGGGGGAGGUUGGAGGUACUCCUGGGGUAGGGGUGAAAUCCUGUAAUCCUGGGGGGAUCACUAGUGGCGAAGGCGUCCAACCAAUACGGCUCCGACGGUAAGGGACGAAGCCCUGGGGCGCAAACGGGAUUAGAUACCCCGGUAGUCCAGGGUGUAAACGCUGCACGCUUGGUGUUGGGGGUCCUACGAGGGCGCCCAGUGCCGGAGAGAAGUUGUUAAGCCUGCCGCUUGGGGAGUACGUCCGCAAGGAUGAAACUUAAAGGAAUUGGCGGGGAGCACAGCAACGGGUGGAGCGUGCGUCAAUUGAAUCACGCCGU